ensembl:snoRNA Gm24507 small nucleolar RNA U109
CUUGCAUGUGGACAUGUCUGCCUCUCUUUUCUUGGGGAGUAGGAAUGUAUCCAUAACAUGCUACAGUGAUCAAGGAGUUCUCAGGGCUACCAACCUUAUAGGAGAGGUUGAGUAGUAGUAUAUUUCUCCUACACUA